UACGGAGGGUGCAAGCGUUGUUCGGAAUUAUUGGGCGUAAAGAGCGUGUAGGCGGCCGGAUGUGUCAAAUGUGAAAGCCCUGAGCUCAACUCAGGAAGUGCAUUUGAAACUGUCCGGCUCGAGUAGGGGAGAGGGAAGUGGAAUUCCUGGUGUAGAGGUGAAAUUCGUAGAUAUCAGGAGGAACACCGGUGGCGAAGGCGACUUCCUGGCCCUAUACUGACGCUGAGACGCGAGAGCGUGGGUAGCAAACAGG
rnacentral:rRNA from 1 species